GGAAUUGUGGCUCAGUGGUAGAGCGCGCGCCUUGCCCGUGCGAGACCCUUGGUUUGAUCCCCAGCACCA
rnacentral:tRNA from 1 species